UACGGGGGGGGCAAGCGUUGUUCGGAAUUACUGGGCGUAAAGGGCUCGUAGGCGGCCAACUAAGUCAGACGUGAAAUCCCCAGGCUCAACCUGGGAACUGCGUCUGAUACUGGAUGGCUUGAAUCCGGGAGAGGGAUGCAGAAUUCCAGGUGGUAGCGGUGAAAUGCGUAGAUAUCUGGAGGAAUACCGGUGGCGAAGGCGGCAUCCUGGACCGGCAUUGACGCUGAGGAGCGAAAGCCAGGGGAGCAAAGCAGG
rnacentral:rRNA from 1 species